ACGGCAGUGGCGCAACGGUAGCGCAUCGGUCUCCAAAACCGAGGGUUGAAGGUUCGAAUCCUUCCUGCCGUG
rnacentral:tRNA from 2 species